UAAUGAGGAUGAAGAUAACAGGAUCAGUAAGUUUUGCAGCUUUUGAUGAUAUGGAUCAUGCAACCAUGAAUGGCUGCGGCUAUGGCCGAAGAUGAAGUAAAUGAUAUGGAGUAGAGCAUCCAAGUACUAUGCAAUUGUGCUGAUUCUUAUGGACAUUAGUGUAUUUUCUCAGUCACUAAACCUUGCUUUUCUUGUACUAAUUAGCUUCUAG